rnacentral:rRNA from 1 species
GACGAACCGUACGAACGUUAUUCGGAAUUACUGGGCUUAAAGGGUGCGUAGGCGGCGCAGUAAGUUGGGUGUGAAAUCCCUCGGCUUAACCGAGGAAUUGCGCCCAAAACUACUGUGCUCGAGGGAGAUAGAGGUGAGCGGAACUUAGGGUGGAGCGGUGAAAUGCGUUGAUAUUAUGGGGAACACCAAAAGCGAAGGCAGCAGACUGGAGCACUCCUGACACUGAAACAAGAAAGCGUGGGUCGCGAAUGGG